rnacentral:rRNA from 1 species
UACGGGGGGGGCAAGCGUUGUUCGGAAUUACUGGGCGUAAAGGGCUCGUAGGCGGCCAACUAAGUCAGACGUGAAAUCCCUCGGCUUAACCGGGGAACUGCGUCUGAUACUGGAUGGCUCGAGUUUGGGAGAGGGAUGCGGAAUUCCAGGUGUAGCGGUGAAAUGCGUAGAUAUCUGGAGGAACACCGGUGGCGAAGGCGGGUCUCUGGGCCGAUACUGACGCUGAGGAGCGAAAGCGUGGGGAGCGAACAGG